AAGUCGUAACAAGGUAACCGUAGGUGAACCUGCGGUUGGAUCAUUAACGAAUGUUGAAGCGGAAGCUUUAAUUAAAAUGGCUUAACUUGAAGUUGAAAAACGGAUAGUGGCCUAACACCUUGUGUGAACCAUUAACGUCUCUGGCAAGUCCAGCUUAAUCUUUUCGAAAGGAAGGAUUUAGUAGGAAAAAGCUUGCCAGUUUAUAAACUUUAAUAUCAUACUGGUCUACCUACUAAAAUUAAAUAGUAACAACUUUUGACAACGGAUCUCUUGGCUCUC
rnacentral:misc_RNA from 1 species